UACAGAGGUCUCAAGCGUUGUUCGGAUUCAUUGGGCGUAAAGGGUGCGUAGGUGGCGCUGUAAGUCGGGUGUGAAAUUUCGGAGCUUAACUCCGAAACUGCAUUCGAUACUGCGGUGCUUGAGGACUGGAGAGGAGACUGGAAUUCAUGGUGUAGCAGUGAAAUGCGUAGAGAUCAUGAGGAAGACCAGUGGCGAAGGCGGGUCUCUGGACAGUUCCUGACGCUGAGGCACGAAGGUCAGGGGGAGCAAACGGG
rnacentral:rRNA from 1 species